rnacentral:lncRNA from 1 species
AUCAGAUUAGAUGUUUCUCAGGGGACUUUCCAGCCCUGGCUGCUCCUGGAGGGAGUGAGCUCCCUAUCAACCAAAAUAUUCAAGUGGAGAGCAGGCAACCACUGGUGGGAUUCUAGCCUUUGAUGGACAUGUGAACUACGUAACCUUGAAGGUCCUUUCCAGACCUGAGUUGUCCUGAUUCUGGGAUUCUGGAGCCCAGAUGGGGCCUGUGAACUGUGCCAGGCAGCCAAGGAUGGUUAUGCAGGACAUCUGUUCCCUCCCCUGCAUCCCAGGGUCUUGCUAUGUGGACUAGGCUGAUCUUGAACUCCUGGCCUCAAGUCAUCCUACCGCUGUGGGCUCCUAAAGUGCGGGGAUUACAAGCAUGAGCCACCACACUGGCCUCAG